AUCGCUCGCGAUGUUUAACUGACAUGCUCGUGAGACGUCCUACCGGUGGGCUUAGCUCCUUCGGGAGCGGUCCAACUAAUAUCCCAUCGCGGUGCUCUUCAUUGAGUGUCGAGGUGGGCCGGUACGUUUACUUUGAACAAAUUAGAGUGCUUAAAGCAGGCUAUUUUUGCCUGAAUAAUCUGUGCAUGGAAUAAUGGAAUAGGACCUCGGUUC
rnacentral:rRNA from 1 species